rnacentral:rRNA from 1 species
CCUACGGGGGGCAGCAGUGGGGAAUAUUGCACAAUGGGGGAAACUCUGAUGCAGCGACGCCGCGUGAGUGAAGAAGUAAUUCGUUAUGUAAAGCUCUAUCAGCAGGGAAGAAAAUGACGGUACCUGAGUAAGAAGCCACGGCUAACUACGUGCCAGCAGACGCGGUAAUACGUAGGGGGCAAGCGUUAUCCGGAUUUACGGGUUGUAAGGGAGCGUAGACGGCAGUGCAAGUCUGGAGUGAAAGGCGGGGGCUCAACCCACGGACUGCACUGGAAACUGUACGGCUGGAGUGCAGGAGAGGUAAUUGGAAUUCCUAGUGUAGCGGUGAAAUGCGUAGAUAUUAGGAGGAACACCAGUGGCGAAGGCGGCUUACUGGACUGUAACUGACGUUGAGGCUCGAAAGCGUGGGGAGCAAACAGGAUUAGAUACCCCUGUAGUC